rnacentral:rRNA from 1 species
UACGUAGGUGGCAAGCGUUGUUCGGAAUUAUUGGGCGUAAAGGGCGCGUAGGCGGUUUGUUAAGUCGGCUGUGAAAGCCCGGGGCUCAACCCCGGAGGGUCAGCCGAUACUGGCAGACUAGAGUACGGAAGAGGUAGCUGGAAUUCCCGGUGUAGCGGUGAAAUGCGCAGAUAUCAGGAGGAACACCGGUGGCGAAGGCGGAUCUCUGGGCCAUUACUGACGCUGAGGAGCGAAAGCGUGGGGAGCGAACAGG